rnacentral:rRNA from 1 species
UACGUAGGGGGCGAGCGUUGUCCGGAAUCAUUGGGCGUAAAGCGCGUGUAGGCGGCUCGAUAAGUCCGGUGUGAAACCUUGGGGCUCAACCCCAAGCCUGCACUGGAUACUGCCGAGCUAGAGUCCGGGAGGGAGAGCGGAAUUCCUAGUGUAGCGGUGAAAUGCGCAGAUAUUAGGAAGAACACCGGUGGCGAAGGCGGCUCUCUGGAACGGUACUGACGCUGAGACGCGAAAGCGUGGGGAGCGAACGAGGA